UUUUAUUGUCGAAAUUUAAUU
ensembl:piRNA 21ur-7210 ncRNA